rnacentral:lncRNA from 1 species
ACUUACCAAUAUUUACAGAAUAAAAAUAAAUGGUGUGCUAUUUGUCUGUGUGAGUAAAAACUUUUUCUUUGGCCAUAUAUCUAAAAUAUCUAUUCUUUCUACUCUUGAUUAAAGCAGAGUUAAUACUCAACAGACACACAUAGAAAAUGCAAACUUUAAAAAAGAAAAUGGUGCAAUAAUGUUUCUGUUUUAAGUGUGUGGCCUCUCAUAAAAGGGGGGUACAAAAAUGAUCUAAGUGUUACACUAUAGCUAAAAUUGAUCUAAGUGUUACACUAUAGCUCAGAUGAUCUAAGUGUUACACUAUAGCUCAGAUGAUCUAAGUGUUACACUAUACCUCAGAUUAUCUAAGUGUUACACUAUACCUCAGAUGAUCUAAGUGUUACACUAUAGCUCAGAAGAUCUAAGUGUUACACUUUAGCUCAGAUGAUCCAAGUGUUACACUAUAGCUCAGAUGAUCUAAGUGUUACGCUUUAGCUCAGAUGAUCUAAGUGUUACACUAUAGCUCAGAUGAUCUAAGUGUUACACUAUAGCUCAGAUGAUCUAAGUGUUACACUAUAGCUCAGAUGAUCUAAGUGUUACACUUUAGCUCAGAUGAUCUUAGUGUUACACUAUAGCUCAGAUGAUCUAAGUGUUACACUAUAGCUCAUAUGAUCUAAGUGUUACACUAUAGCUAAG